AGUCGAGCGAAGCACUUUGCUUAGAUUCUUCGGAUGAAGAGGAUUGUGACUGAGCGGCGGACGGGUGAGUAACGCGUGGGUAACCUGCCUCAUACAGGGGGAUAACAGUUAGAAAUGACUGCUAAUACCGCAUAAGACCACAGCACCGCAUGGUGCGGGGGUAAAAACUCCGGUGGUAUGAGAUGGACCCGCGUCUGAUUAGCUAGUUGGUAAGGUAACGGCUUACCAAGGCGACGAUCAGUAGCCGACCUGAGAGGGUGACCGGCCACAUUGGGACUGAGACACGGCCCAAACUCCUACGGGAGGCAGCAGUGGGGAAUAUUGCACAAUGGGGGAAACCCUGAUGCAGCGACGCCGCGUGAGCGAAGAAGUAUUUCGGUAUGUAAAGCUCUAUCAGCAGGGAAGAAAAUGACGGUACCUGACUAAGAAGCACCGGCUAAAUACGUGCCAGCAGCCGCGGUAAUACGUAUGGUGCAAGCGUUAUCCGGAUUUACUGGGUGUAAAGGGAGCGUAGACGGAUGGGCAAGUCUGAUGUGAAAACCCGGGGCUCAACCCCGGGACUGCAUUGGAAACUGUUCAUCUAGAGUGCUGGAGAGGUAAGUGGAAUUCCUAGUGUAGCGGUGAAAUGCGUAGAUAUUAGGAGGAACACCAGUGGCGAAGGCGGCUUACUGGACAGUAACUGACGUUGAGGCUCGAAAGCGUGGGGAGCAAACAGGAUUAGAUACCCUGGUAGUCCACGCCGUAAACGAUGACUACUAGGUG
rnacentral:rRNA from 1 species